rnacentral:rRNA from 1 species
UGCNGUNNNNGGUAACAUUUCUAGCUUGCUAGAAGAUGACGAGUGGCGGACGGGUGAGUAAUGCUUGGGAACUUGCCUUUGCGAGGGGGAUAACAGUUGGAAACGACUGCUAAUACCGCAUAAUGUCUACGGACCAAACGGGGCUUAGGCUCCGGCGCAAAGAGAGGCCCAAGUGAGAUUAGCUAGUUGGUAAGGUAACGGCUUACCAAGGCGACGAUCUCUAGCUGUUCUGAGAGGAAGAUCAGCCACACUGGGACUGAGACACGGCCCAGACUCCUACGGGAGGCAGCAGUGGGGAAUAUUGCACAAUGGGGGGAACCCUGAUGCAGCCAUGCCGCGUGUGUGAAGAAGGCCUUCGGGUUGUAAAGCACUUUCAGUUGUGAGGAAAAGUUAGUAGUUAAUACCUGCUAGCCGUGACGUUAACAACAGAAGAAGCACCGGCUAACUCCGUGCCAGCAGCCGCGGUAAUACGGAGGGUGCGAGCGUUAAUCGGAAUUACUGGGCGUAAAGCGCACGCAGGCGGUUUGUUAAGCUAGAUGUGAAAGCCCCGGGCUCAACCUGGGAUGGUCAUUUAGAACUGGCAGACUAGAGUCUUGGAGAGGGGAGUGGAAUUCCAGGUGUAGCGGUGAAAUGCGUAGAUAUCUGGAGGAACAUCAGUGGCGAAGGCGACUCCCUGGCCAAAGACUGACGCUCAUGUGCGAAAGUGUGGGUAGCGAACAGGANUAGAUACCCUGGUAGUCCACACCGUAAACGCUGUCUACUAGCUGUGUGUGUCUUUNANAUGUGCGUANCGAANCUAACGCGCUAAGUAGACCGNCUGGGG